rnacentral:lncRNA from 1 species
CAGUGGCUGAGCUGGGAUCAGACCUAUGAUCCCAUGAACCUUGCUAUGCCUGCCGUGCUCACUGUGUCAGCCUGUGCCUCUGGUUAUAAUUUAAUUACACGUGUUAGCUUUAGUUCUGGUUUGGAACAACUGUUAUCUAACUUGUAAUUUCCUUUGUACCCAUUAGUGAAAAGGUCAAAAGUUUUGACUAUAAUCAAAACCCACCUUUAAUAAAUAGCAGACUUCUUUUCUCUUUUACUUUUUUUUCAGUUUCAAACGCUAAAGGAUACAAAACUACUAAAGCCUCUGCUUAUGCAACACAGAUUACAGAUGACAUUAGAGAACUGAAAAAGUUUUGGGAACUAAAUCUCAGAGGCAAAUAUAAGUGAAAAAGCACUCUGAAUAGUCCUGCUUUUUCAUUAGGGUGCCUAAGGAAGCUAUCUGGAAUUCACCUGUGCACCACAGAUCCUGUAGAACAAAGGCUCUGGAGCCAGGUAAAUACAUAUUCAAAUUUUGCCUCUGCAUCUAAUUAACACGUUUUUUUGCUCUUUACAACACCACUUUAGCACUUUUAAAAUGGAAAAAUAAUAGUGCCAAAGCCAUAGAAUUAUUAUGAAAAUCAAAUAAGACAAUUCACCAGUUAGUGAGUGUCCUCCACGUGUGCGGGGCACCCCAAGGAAGAAGAU